CUGCCACCUUCACACCAGCCACCCUCCUGGGCACUGAGAGAUGUCAGCGCAGGUCUAUAGUCCGGGGACAACUCCUUACUCAUCUGAUGAAUGGGAUGAACCAUGUCAGAGGAAGAGCUAACCCUGCAGCCAAAUUCUAAUAAACAACAGGCUCAAGACCCUUGUCGACAAGCUCAGCCCAGACUCCAAAGUUCCACUGGAAGCAUCUCCCACAGAAAUGGCCUUCUCUGUGUUGCAUACGACCCUACUGCUACAGCUUGGUGCUGUCCAAACUCCGGGGAGAGGAACCGGAACCUUUCAGUUCUUGGCUCAGCCAUUCCAUAGACAAUAUUGCAACAGGAAACGACUGAGGCUGUGGCGGCCUCUGGAAGUUCAUUUCUGCCCACGUGUAUCUGCCUUGAGUGUUCUAAGGCACUUAUUCAUUCAUUUGUUCGUUUGCUCACUUGCCCGUCAAACAUCUGAGUGCUGACUGCAUGUCAGGAGUUUAAAUAGGCCCUGGGGUAGAAAUGUGAACAGUAGUCAGUUGAAUAGGAAUCGGAGGGCUAGACUCAAAGUCUCAUGUGGGAGACAGAGGUAAGCACAGAGAGUUCCGUAUUGUCAGGGUUACCCAUCAGGGCACCAGGCACAGGAGUGGAGGACAGAGGAGGCCUCUUGCCUGGGGAAGCAGGGAAUCCAUCACCCAGCAGAGCAGAGGCAGAGGGGCAGAGAGGGUGCCAGCCAGAGGGCAGGUAAGGUGCCAAUGUAAGUGCUGCCCUGUGGCAGCAUGGGGUUCCAGCUACUGGGGAGACUUGAGCCCAGGAGUUUGAGGCCAGCUUGGGCAACAUGGUGAGACCCUGUCUCUUCAAAAAAAAAAUUAAAAAAAGUAGUCAAUGUGUGUGUUGGGUGGGCGGGGAGGAGUCCAGAAUGGCCUUAAAGGCCAAGCAUGAAGGAACCCGGCACUCCUGGUACACAUGCAGCCACUGAAUGAUUUGAGGAGGGGAAUGGGACAUUGAAGAAGGGGAAGUUUGGGGACUUGGGGACGGUGGAGUCAGGGCUUCUCCCCUCUCCAGGAGGCUGACCUCAUGUUACUGGGAAAAGACGAAACCGCCUGAGACCACUCGGUAUAGGGAGGGUGUGGGGGAUGGGUGCUUACUCUCCCUGGGAGUGCAAACCGGCACAGCUUUUGGGUUGGAAAUUUGGCAUUAUCUGUUAAAUUUAAAAAUAAUAUUCCUACCUUUCCCUAAGCAAUUUCCAGAAGGAAAUUCUUGUAAAAUUUGCACAACUCUGCAAAAUACACAAAGGGAAGUUUACUAUAGCAUUUUUUUUUAGAUGGAGUCUCGCUCUGUCACCCAGGCUGGCGUGCAGUAGUACAGUCUCGCCUCACAGCAACCUCUGCCUCCCGGGUUCAAGCGAUUCUCCUGCCUCAGCCUCUCUAGUAGCUGGGACUACAGGCGUGCGCGACCACGCCCAGCUAAGUUUUGUAUUUUUAGUGGAGACGGGUUUUCAUCAUAUUGGCCAGGCUGAUCUCGAACUCCUGA
rnacentral:lncRNA from 10 species